rnacentral:rRNA from 1 species
UACGGAGGGUGCAAGCGUUAUCCGGAUUCACUGGGUUUAAAGGGUGCGUAGGUGGGAAUGUAAGUCAGUGGUGAAAUCUCCGUGCUUAACAUGGAAACUGCCAUUGAUACUAUGUUUCUUGAAUUUUCUGGAGGUAAGCGGAAUAUGUCAUGUAGCGGUGAAAUGCUUAGAUAUGACAUAGAACACCAAUUGCGAAGGCAGCUUACUACAGGGACAUUGACACUGAGGCACGAAAGCGUGGGGAUCAAACAGG